UGGUUCUGGCAUCGAUGAAGAACGCAGCGAAAUGCGAUAAGUAAUGCGAAUUGCAGAAUUCCAGUGAGUCAUCGAAUCUUUGAACGCACAUUGCGCCCUUUGGCAUUCCGAAGGGCAUGCCUGUUCGAGCGUCAUUAUCACCCCUCAAGCCCUGUGCUUGCUGUUGGAGGAUCUGGUCCGGCCUACGGACCCCUCCCAAAGACAAUGACGGCGGCCUGUGGUUCCCCCGGUACACUGAGCUUUUCACGGAGCACGUACCGGACAAAGGGCGCCCGGGCCUCGGUCUUCUCCUCUCACGAGGAAAUUUUUUAUCUAGGUUGACCUCGGAUCAGGUAGGAAUACGCGCUGA
rnacentral:misc_RNA from 1 species